UGGAACGCACCCCGAAGCUUUGGAUUCCGUUCUCUUUCUUUAUCUCUCUUUUCUCUCGCAUCCAUCACUGCCAUGUUUGCUCGUCAGUGAUCUCACAGCUCACUUGCUAAAGAUCAAGUGUCAUGUGUGUGUGUGUGUUGGUGGCGGUCUCAAGUUUGCGUAGUGGACACUAUACUGUAUAGACUUGUGUGUGUGCUGUUCGAGGACUUUGUCCGUGGAAGACAAAGCACAGCACAAACCAACAUGUAAAUUUGCCCAGGCCUGGC
rnacentral:lncRNA from 1 species